rnacentral:lncRNA from 1 species
AAAAUCUUACGAAAAUAUUACAUGUCUUUGGGAUCAUCAUCUUAAUCUGAUCUUAUCGGAAGAUUCUACUCCGAGUCCUUCUGAAGAUUCUCUUCCGGGUUUUCCUCCUCCUGAGAUUUUUUUUUCCUUUGCUCCUCAAUCCAGGCUUGUUGUAUUCUCCUAUAUUCUUCAUCACUCACCGGUGCAACAUUUCUUCCACAACCGGGAGGAAAAUGUCGUACACCUGACACUUUUCUAAGGGGUUUGCUCGUCACUGUU